AGCAGCCGCGGUAAUUCCAGCUCCAAUAGCGUAUAUUAAAGUUGUUGCAGUUAAAAAGCUCGUAGUUGAACUUCGGGGUCUACCCAUUGGUCAGGCUUAAUUGUCUGCACUGGUGAGAUGGAUCUCUACCUUCUGAGGAACUUCAUGCCAUUUAUUUGGUGUGAUGGGAAAUCAGGACUGUUACUUUGAAAAAAUUAGAGUGUUUAAAGCAGACUAUCGUCUGAAUACAUUAGCAUGGAAUAAUGAAAUAGGACGGACUGAUUCUAUUUCGUUGGUUUCUAGGAUCACCGUAAUGAUUAAUAGGGAUAGUUGGGGGCAUUAGUAUUCAAUUGUCAGAGGUGAAAUUCUUGGAUUUAUUGAAGACUAACUACUGCGAAAGCACUUGCCAAGGAUGUUUCAUUAAUCAAGAACGAAGUUAGGGGAUCGAAGACGAUCAGAUACCGUCGUAGUCUUAACCAUAAACUAUGCCGACUAGGGAUCGGACGAAGUUAA
rnacentral:misc_RNA from 1 species